rnacentral:rRNA from 1 species
CCUCCUUUUUUCCUCCGUGGGGAAUAUUGGACAAUGGGGGGAACCCUGAUCCAGCCAUGCCGCGUGUGUGAAGAAGGCCCUCGGGUUGUAAAGCACUUUCAGUGAGGAAGAACGCCUGGUGGUUAAUACCCAUCAGGAAAGACAUCACUCACAGAAGAAGCACCGGCUAACUCCGUGCCAGCAGCCGCGAUAAUACGGAGGGUGCGAGCGUUAAUCGGAAUUACUGGGCGUAAAGCGCGCGUAGGUGGCUUGAUAAGCCGGUUGUGAAAGCCCCGGGCUCAACCUGGGAACGGCAUCCGGAACUGUCAAGCUAGAGUGCAGGAGAGGAAGGUAGAAUUCCCGGUGUAGCGGUGAAAUGCGUAGAGAUCGGGAGGAAUACCAGUGGCGAAGGCGGCCUUCUGGACUGACACUGACACUGAGGUGCGAAAGCGUGGGUAGCAAACAGGAUUAGAUACCCUGGUAGUC